rnacentral:rRNA from 1 species
GCUGGCGACCGGCGCACGGGUGAGUAACACGUAUCCAACCUGCCGAUGACUCGGGGAUAGCCUUUCGAAAGAAAGAUUAAUACCCGAUGGCAUAGUUCUUCCGCAUGGUAGAACUAUUAAAGGAUUUCGGUCAUCGAUGGGGAUGCGUUCCAUUAGGUUGUUGGUGAGGUAACGGCCCACCAAGCCUUCGAUGGAUAGGGGUUCUGAGAGGAAGGUCCCCCACAUUGGAACUGAGACACGGUCCAAACUCCUACGGGAGGCAGCAUG